rnacentral:rRNA from 1 species
UACGUAGGUGGCGAGCGUUGUCCGGAUUUACUGGGCGUAAAGAGCGCGCAGGCGGCUGGUCAAGUCCGACGUGAAAUCUCCCGGCUUAACUGGGAAACGGCGUCGGAAACUGAUCGGCUUGAAGGUGGGAGGGGGUAGUGGAAUUCCCGGUGUAGUGGUGAAAUGCGUAGAUAUCGGGAGGAACACCAGUGGCGAAGGCGGCUACCUGGCCCACUCUUGACGCUGAGGCGCGAAAGCUAGGGGAGCAAACGGGAUUAGAAACCCGAGUAGU